ACACACGGCGGGUGCUAACGUCCGUCGUGAAGAGGGAAACAACCCAGACCGCCAGCUAAGGUCCCAAAGUCAUGGUUAAGUGGGAAACGAUGUGGGAAGGCCCAGACAGCCAGGAUGUUGGCUUAGAAGCAGCCAUCAUUUAAAGAAAGCGUAAUAGCUCACUGGUCGAGUCGGCCUGCGCGGAAGAUGUAACGGGGCUAAACCAUGCACCGAAGCUGCGGCAGCGACACUGUGUGUUGUUGGGUAGGGGAGCGUUCUGUAAGCCUGCGAAGGUGUGCUGUGAGGCAUGCUGGAGGUAUCAGAAGUGCGAAUGCUGACAUAAGUAACGAUAAAGCGGGUGAAAAGCCCGCUCGCCGGAAGACCAAGGGUUCCUGUCCAACGUUAAUCGGGGCAGGGUGAGUCGACCCCUAAGGCGAGGCCGAAAGGCGUAGUCGAUGGGAAACAGGUUAAUAUUCCUGUACUUGGUGUUACUGCGAAGGGGGGACGGAGAAGGCUAUGUUGGCCGGGCGACGGUUGUCCCGGUUUAAGCGUGUAGGCUGGUUUUCCAGGCAAAUCCGGAAAAUCAAGGCUGAGGCGUGAUGACGAGGCACUACGGUGCUGAAGCAACAAAUGCCCUGCUUCCAGGAAAAGCCUCUAAGCAUCAGGUAACAUCAAAUCGUACCCCAAACCGACACAGGUGGUCAGGUAGAGAAUACCAAGGCGCUUGAGAGAACUCGGGUGAAGGAACUAGGCAAAAUGGUGCCGUAACUUCGGGAGAAGGCACGCUGAUACGUAGGUGAAGUCCCUCGCGGAUGGAGCUGAAAUCAGUCGAAGAUACCAGCUGGCUGCAACUGUUUAUUAAAAACACAGCACUGUGCAAACACGAAAGUGGACGUAUACGGUGUGACGCCUGCCCGGUGCCGGAAGGUUAAUUGAUGGGGUCAGCGCAAGCGAAGCUCUUGAUCGAAGCCCCGGUAAACGGCGGCCGUAACUAUAACGGUCCUAAGGUAGCGAAAUUCCUUGUCGGGUAAGUUCCGACCUGCACGAAUGGCGUAAUGAUGGCCAGGCUGUCUCCACCCGAGACUCAGUGAAAUUGAACUCGCUGUGAAGAUGCAGUGUACCCGCGGCAAGACGGAAAGACCCCGUGAACCUUUACUAUAGCUUGACACUGAACAUUGAGCCUUGAUGUGUAGGAUAGGUGGGAGGCUUUGAAGUGUGGACGCCAGUCUGCAUGGAGCCGACCUUGAAAUACCACCCUUUAAUGUUUGAUGUUCUAACGUUGACCCGUAAUCCGGGUUGCGGACAGUGUCUGGUGGGUAGUUUGACUGGGGCGGUCUCCUCCUAAAGAGUAACGGAGGAGCACGAAGGUUGGCUAAUCCUGGUCGGACAUCAGGAGGUUAGUGCAAUGGCAUAAGCCAGCUUGACUGCGAGCGUGACGGCGCGAGCAGGUGCGAAAGCAGGUCAUAGUGAUCCGGUGGUUCUGAAUGGAAGGGCCAUCGCUCAACGGAUAAAAGGUACUCCGGGGAUAACAGGCUGAUACCGCCCAAGAGUUCAUAUCGACGGCGGUGUUUGGCACCUCGAUGUCGGCUCAUCACAUCCUGGGGCUGAAGUAGGUCCCAAGGGUAUGGCUGUUCGCCAUUUAAAGUGGUACGCGAGCUGGGUUUAGAACGUCGUGAGACAGUUCGGUCCCUAUCUGCCGUGGGCGCUGGAGAAUUGAGGGGGGCUGCUCCUAGUACGAGAGGACCGGAGUGGACGCAUCACUGGUGUUCGGGUUGUCAUGCCAAUGGCACUGCCCGGUAGCUAAAUGCGGAAGAGAUAAGUGCUGAAAGCAUCUAAGCACGAAACUUGCCCCGAGAUGAGUUCUCCCUGACUCCUUGAGAGUCCUGAAGGAACGUUGAAGACGACGACGUUGAUAGGCCGGGUGUGUAAGCGCAGCGAUGCGUUGAGCUAACCGGUACUAAUGA
rnacentral:rRNA from 1 species